AUAGACUUACCUCACAAUCCUUCAUGCUGGACCCUUAUGGCGUUUUUCAAGUUUUUAAUACUAUUUCAAGGUGUGUGCUGAAAAUCUCCACAUGUCGAGCUGCACAGAAAAAUAUUUGUUUGGCUUUAUGCGAGGCUGAUCAGUCUUAUUAAUCUUCAGGAAAUUUUUGAGAAACAUAUCACGAAGAGAUGUUGGGAAAAUUUUAGAAAGAACCAUAACGACACAACUGAUGGCUCAAUUCAGGUGAUCAGGUGUGAAAACUUGAUCUACCUAAAAUCAGUCAAUAUUCACGACAAAUGUUUCCUUCAUGAUAUAGAGAAAUAAUUCCUUACCAGUAUUUGGAAUAAAUUUUCAUGAUCAGGUACUUCAUUAAGAAUAUAAUUUUCAUUUAUUUUAAAACACAACAAUUUUAACGAGUCGGGGAAACAAGAGGUAUUAAUAAAAAUGAACAGCAUUUUAUUUCUCAAAUAUUUUCUCAAUGGAAGUAUCAUGUCAACAAAAUUAAAUUAGAAAAUCACCUAAAACAAUUCAAUGACGUCGUAAGUAAAAUAUCGAGUGACUUUAGGAUAAAUUAAAAAAAAAAAAAUUUGGUCGGUGUCAAUUAGAAAUAGACUCCUAGUACCAGCCAUGAGCCAACAAUAGAAUUUGGCUGGGAAAUGAAAAGUACAUGUGAAAUAUCAUAACAAUUAGAGACCUUACAGCCUUAUGGUUUCAGUGAUCACCCUCUAUUAUUUUUUACACAAUCAAACAACUACCAGAGUACCACUAAAACAAAUUCUACCAAGUACCACUGGGGCAUUCAAUUAAAACAGAAACA